UGGGGAAUAUUGCACAAUGGGCGAAAGCCUGAUGCAGCGACGCCGCGUGAGGGAUGACGGCCUUCGGGUUGUAAACCUCUUUCAGCGGGGACGAAGCGCAAGUGACGGUACCUGCAGAAGAAGCACCGGCUAACUACGUGCCAGCAGCCGCGGUAAUACGUAGGGUGCAAGCGUUGUCCGGAAUUACUGGGCGUAAAGAGUUCGUAGGCGGUUUGUCGCGUCGUUUGUGAAAACCAGCAGCUCAACUGCUGGCUUGCAGGCGAUACGGGCAGACUUGAGUACUGCAGGGGAGACUGGAAUUCCUGGUGUAGCGGUGAAAUGCGCAGAUAGCAGGAGGAACACCGGUGGCGAAGGCGGGUCUCUGGGCAGUAACUGACGCUGAGGAACGAAAGCGUGGGUAGCGAACAGG
rnacentral:rRNA from 1 species